rnacentral:lncRNA from 1 species
CUCGUGUGGGCAGCACCACGAGGAGCAAAAAAAAAAAAAAAAAAAAAAAAAAAAAUCAAGAACGGAGAAACCUCUUCUGGAGAGGUAUCUCUCUGCAGGGGACGCAAGCGGCAGCACACGGCGUGCGCACGGCGGUACCAACGUACGUCGGGGCGGCCCCGCAGCUGCCAGCUACACUACGAGAGCGCAGUCGCUCCGGAAACGUUUGCUCACCGGGCCUUGGGAACAGUGCUGUGCAGCGACACGAAGAAACGUCUCGGAAAACGCCACGCAUUUCUACACAACCUCACCGGGAGAACAGCAAGCGCUUUAGCACAGUUUGGGACUGAACCCCCAGGAAGAGAGACAGGACACGGCCGUGCGCGCUGUCUGAGACCCGAGGGGGCCCCGCACCCUGUCUCGAGCGGAGACUUCGGCGCGAGCCCGGCGCCCGCCGCCUCCUGCGGAGCCUUCCCCCGCCCCGCAGCGAGGAACCGCGGGCAGCGCACCGGCAGCUGGCAGGAUGCAGCGGCCCCCAGGAGCGGGGUGCGGGAUACGCAGGGCCGCGUACUUUGCCACCCCGCCGUCGCGGCGCUCCCGUCGAGUCAGGGAGGCCGCCUGCCCGGCCGGGCUCCCCGCAGAGCGGUGACGGCACCGGCAGGGACCUCUCCGCGGGUGCCGGCCAGCCUCUCCCCCAGAUCCCGAGGGGUCGCACUGAAACGGCUCGUUCGCCGCGUCCACGCCGGUAGGGCUCACGUCCCGCUCGGCAAGGGCGGCCCCGACGUCGAGGCCGGCAGCUCCGCCAGGACGAGGCCUCUCAGUAGCGGGGAGCGCUGCGGCAGAAGGACGGCCGGAGCCUUCGGGGCGGCGGAGCAAAGCCGGCGAGGAGCAAAGUGGCGCUGCGCACGGCAGAGGCGCCGCCGCUCCUCCCGCCCGAGGACGCGCGUAGUCGCCCGCGAGCGCGCAACUUGUGCCUCCGCCUGCUCUGCGCGGCCCCGACGGCUCACGCCACCUGUCCGGGGGGACGCGGAGCGGGGUUGCUCGGAGGAACGGGACGGGAUGGAACGGGCCAGGGCGGGCAACGGCGAGUCCGGCACCUGGAGCUGCCCUCGACCCGCUCCGCGCAGAGGCCGGGCCGGGAUUUCGCCGUGA